GGGAUAAGACGGGAAUGGGCGCAGUCUGACCGAGCAACGCCGCGUGAGUGAAGAAGGUUUUCGGAUCGUAAAGCUCUGUUGUCAGCAAAGAACAGGAGAAAGAGGCAAUGCUUUUUCUAUGACGGUAGCUGACCAGAAAGCCACGGCUAACUACGUGCCAGCAGCCGCGGUAAUACGUAGGUGGCAAGCGUUGUCCGGAUUUAUUGGGCGUAAAGCGAGCGCAGGCGGUGAUUUAAGUCUGAUGUGAAAGCCCCCAGCUCAACUGGGGAGGGUCAUUGGAAACUGGAUCACUUGAGUGCAGAAGAGGAGAGUGGAAUUCCAUGUGUAGCGGUGAAAUGCGUAGAUAUAUGGAGGAACACCAGUGGCGAAGGCGGCUCUCUGGUCUGUAACUGACGCUGAGGCUCGAAAGCGUGGGUAGCAAACAGGAUUAGAUACCCUGGUAGUCCACGCCGUAAACGAUGAGUGCUAAGUGUUGGAGGGUUUCCGCCCUUCAGUGCUGCAGUUAACGCAUUAAGCACUCCGCCUGGGGAGUACGACCGCAAGGUUGAAACUCAAAGGAAUUGACGGGGGCCCGCACAAGCGGUGGAGCAUGUGGUUUAAUUCGAAGCAACGCGAAGAACCUUACCAGGUCUUGACAUCCUUUGACCGCCCUAGAGAUAGGGUUUCCCCUUCGGGGGCAAAGUGACAGGUGGUGCAUGGUUGUCGUCAGCUCGUGUCGUGAGAUGUUGGGUUAAGUCCCGUAACGAGCGCAACCCUUAUUGUUAGUUGCCAGCAUUGCGUUGGGCACUCUAGCAAGACUGCCGGUGACAAACCGGAGGAAGGCGGGGAUGACGUCAAAUCAUCAUGCCCCUUAUGACCUGGGCUACACACGUGCUACAAUGGGAAGUACAACGAGCAAGCCAAGCCGCAAGGCCGAGCGAAUCUCUGAAAGCUUCUCUCAGUUCGGAUUGCAGGCUGCAACUCGCCUGCAUGAAGCCGGAAUCGCUAGUAAUCGCGGAUCAGCAUGCCGCGGUGAAUCCGUUCCCGGGCCUUGUACACACGCCCGUCACACACGAGAGUUUGUACACCCAAAGUCGUGCGCACCUAGGGAGCAGCCGCCUAAGUGGGACGAAUGAUUGGGUGGGAGUGUUCCCGGGGGGAAAACCACAACAA
rnacentral:rRNA from 1 species